AUCUCUAUGGCCGAAUGGAUAAGGUUCCCGCAUAUAAAAAACAGGACAUUGAAGGUUCGAUUCCGCUCGGAGAUU